GAAUCUUGCGCAAUGGACGAAAGUCUGACGCAGCGACGCCGCGUGGGGGAAGAAGGCCUGCGGGUUGUAAACCCCUUUUCCGGAGGAAGAAGAUCUGACGGUACUCCGGGAAUAAGCCUCGGCUAACUACGUGCCAGCAGCCGCGGUAAUACGUAGGAGGCAAGCGUUGUCCGGAUUUACUGGGCGUAAAGGGAGCGCAGGUGGUUGCGCAAGUCGGUGGUGCAAGCUCCAGGCUUAACCUGGAGAGGUCUGUCGAUACUGCGUAACUUGAGGGCGGUAGAGGAGCACGGAAUUCCUGGUGUAGUGGUGAAAUGCGUAGAUAUCAGGAGGAACACCGGUGGCGAAAGCGGUGCUCUGGGCCGUUCCUGACACCCAUGCUCGAAAGCGUGGGGAGCGAACCGG
rnacentral:rRNA from 1 species